UUUCCCCCAAAUUGACCGAGCUGCUCUUCUUUGUCCUGUCCCUUUGCCUCUCUUGAGCAUGGAGCAAAAUUCAUCAUCCACACUUUGUUAAUCCAUCUUGGCGUGUACCCUAAUUAUGGGUUUCUUAGUGCAUGCGUUCAUGGAGAAUAGUAGCAUGGAGUAAAGCGUGCUAAGAAAACAUGAUACACCUCAAUUCCAUGGUUCAAUAGAUAUCGAAUUGCACUGGAAGUGGCCUCUGCCCUCGCCUUCCUUCACAAAUCCCGCAAACAUAUUGCUUGGCCUCUCAACCGUGAUCUUUGUUUCUUCAUGGUGACCAUGUGGAUUAUGUAUAUGAAUGUGGUUAUUUGCUCAAGCGCCUCUAUGAAAUUUUCUGCUAAGGUGCGCAUACUGCUACUUCAUUCAGCAUACGAAAUUUUCCCCUGAAGCAACAAUAGUACAAUACUUGAUAAGAAAGGAUUUUGAAAAACUUGUGAGCUCUCCUUAUCGUCUGUAGAACCAGCACAGAUGGGCUGAUUAUUGUACAAUUAAAUUUUCAUCUCAAAGGUGUUGCAUGAGUCGGUCUGGGCUGGGAGGAACUGUUAUUUUUUCAUUAUAUUUUGUAUCAUUUCUUUGACUCUUUUGUUGUCCUAGAGAUUCAGGUGCAAAUAUUGAUGUUGUACAAAUAGAAAUUCCAAAUCAAAGGUGGUUUUCCGUGCAAAGAGAUUAAAUUGUUCAGAUUGUGGAUUUACAUAUAUUCAAUCUUUAAGAGUUGUUCAAAAAUUACACUUGGAACCUGCCCUUGGAGAAACUAUGAUGUUUCCAUAUCAAAUACUUCUCCGCUUUACUGUGACUGAAGAUUCGGGCGCUACAAUCCUGCUACUGAGGGUUGACAGUUUCAGCAGAUCUUCGGAGGUUCACUAGGUAGCUGCUUGGCGAUUCGCAACCUAGUGCAACCUUCCUCUAUCUUAUUUCUUUUCUGAUUCAGUUAUUUAGUAGUAGAGUAGACUUUCAGGCUGGUAGUAUUGUUUUAGAUGUUCAUGACUAGUGACACCCCGAUGUCGGGUUGUGUUGGCUUUAAUUUUCGCAAAUUAUAUUGUUAAAUGCUUAUUUUGGGAUCUUAUUUUGAUUAAAGACUUAGUAGUUAUUAUUUUAA